rnacentral:rRNA from 1 species
AGCGUUGCUCGGAAUUACUGGGUGUAAAGGGUUCGUAGGCGGUGUAGCAAGUCGGGAGUGAAAUCUCUGGGCUCAACCCAGAGACUGCUUCCGAAACUGCUGUGCUUGAGUGUGGGAGAGGCGCGUGGAAUUGCAGGUGUAGCGGUGAAAUGCGUAGAUAUCUGCAGGAACACCCGUGGCGAAAGCGGCGCGCUGGACCACUACUGACGCUGAGGAACGAAAGCUAGGGGAGCAAACAGGAUUAGAUACCCUGGUAGUCCUAGCCCUAAACGAUCAGGACUUGGGGUGCCGCACGUUCGUGCGUCGUCCCGGAGCUAACGCGUUAAGUCCUGCACCUGGGGAGUACGGUCGCAAGACUGAAACUCAAAGGAAUUGACGGGGGCCCGCACAAGCGGCGGAGCAUGUUGCUUAAUUCGAUGCAACGCGAAGAACCUUACCUACGUUGAACUACGCGGGAAAAGCCAUGGAGACAUGGUGUCCGAAAGGGUCCGCGAUAGGUGGUGCAUGGCUGUCGUCAGCUCGUGUCGUGAGAUGUUGGGUUAAGUCCCGCAACGAGCGCAACCCUUGUCCUAUGUUGCCAGCGGGUAAUGCCGGGGACUCGUAGGAGACUGCCGGGGUCAACUCGGAGGAAGGUGGGGAUGACGUCAAGUCUGCAUGCCCCUUACGCGUAGGGCUGCUAACAUGCUACAAUGGCCGGUACAAAGGGCUGCUAAUCCGCGAGGAGGAGCGAAUCCCAAAAAGCCGGUCUCAGUUCGGAUUGGAGUCUGCAACUCGACUCCAUGAAGUCGGAGUCGCUAGUAAUCCCGGAUCAGCUACGCCGGGGUGAAUAC